UCGUGUAUCGGGACAUCAGAAUUUUUCGUACCUUUUGUGUGUAUCGGUCUUCAGAAAUACCAAAUAACUAAAAAUAUUCUUCAUUCUAAAAAAGCUAAAAAUAAAAACAAUUAGUGGGUUCAAUUUUUUUUCCAAGGAGAGAGUAAAGUGCCUCGGCCACCAAACAAGAAUGACAUACAGUUGAGAAACAUAAAUUUGACCCCUUAUUCGGUGUGAUUGGCCCUAGCCCACCGGCGGUUGCUCUUCUACCGGCGGCUCAUUCAGGGAAAGUUUGAAUUUAUCAUUCUGUAAUGGAUUCUUCACCCGAAGCAGAAUAUGCUGCGUUUGAAAAGAAGGUGAAGUGGACUGUUUAUAUUGACAGCCUCUCACCACAGGUCACUGAAGCUGUUAUUAAAACUGCUUUAAAUCAGUUUGGAAACGUGACAAAUGUUCAGUUCAUCCCAAACUACAUGAAAACACCGAAUAUGCCAUGUUGUGCUCUGGUAGAGUUGGAAAAUGCAAAGCAGGCCAGAGAAAUUGUCCUAGAGAUGGCCAAUUUCUCAUUCAUGGUGUCUGGGAUGCCAAGGCCUGUGGGGGUACGUGCUGCUGAAGUGGAGAUGUUUGACGAUCGCCUAAGAAGCACGGACACGGAUACGGGACACGGAUACGACACGACACAGACACGGCGACACGGCAAAUCCAAAAAAAUUAGGACACGGACACGGCGAAUAGUGUAUAUAUAUAUAUAUAUAUCAGCAUUAAUAAUUUAAAAAAAAAAUGAUAUGUUUAGGUUGGAAUAUAUAUAUAUAUCACUGAUAUGUUAGUAUAUAUAUAUAUCAGCAUCUUUAGGACACGGACACGGCGAAUUGUGGCAUCUUUAGGUUAGUAUAUAUAUAUAUAUCAACAUCUUUAGGGUAGUACAAAACAAAAAAUAGAACAUAUCAGCAUUAAAAAAAAAAAAAAAAAAAAAAAAAAAAAAAAAAAUUAACAUAUCAGAAUUAAAAAUUUAAAAAAAAAAAAAAAAAUUCCAGAAAAGUGUGUCCGAGCCGUGUCUGAGCCGUGUCCGAGCUGUCUGAGCCGUGUCCGAGCCGUGUCUGAGCUGUCUGAGCCGUGUCCGUGGCGUGUCCCAGCCGUGUCCGAAAAUUAAAAAAAAAAAAAAAAAUUUCCAGACACGUUUUUUGGCGUGUCCGACACGUGUCGGGGCAUGUCCGACGCGUGUCCGUGUCCGACACGCGUCGGACACGGAUUCUUCGCCCAUUUUGGAGUGUCCGUGCUUCCUAGACGAUCGCCCAAGAAAGCCUGGUAGAAACAUACAUUGUUGUUGGUUGGACUCGAAUGAUCCUGACUAUGAGGGGGCAAAGAAACUUAAGCAUCUGACUAGAAAACAUGCUGCUGAAGCUUCAUUUCUGCACUAGCAACUACUAGCAGAGGAAGAGAAUCUGGCAGAUAAGCAGGGAAAGCCCCUUAAAGCAAAUUAUAAGAAGUAUGACCUGAUUGAGCGUGUGUUAGUUGAUGGAACUGUCAACCGGUUGACGGAGCAUUAUAAUGCGAACAACAAUUUAGAUGCUUGAUGGGUCUCUGUUUCUCUUUGUAGAUUGUUGGAAGCUGCAAAAUUUGUAUGGAACUGAGAGGCAUGAUGGAGACUCGUGUGCUUUAACCAAAGGCUACUUUUCCUUUGUCCAACAAUCAAACUUUAGCAUGUUAGAAAAAUGUUUUCAUAAUGCAUAGUAAGUAUCCAUCUCAGGAAGCUGGAUCGAACAAAGUAAACCGUUUAAAGAUGAAGGAUCUGCUUAUGCCCUAAUUCCAGCAGCAUCUGAUUAUGGACGUUAUUGUAGUUUGAAUUUUGAA